UAAUAUAAGAUACAUAAAAUUAUGAUUAAAUUCAAUUGACAAUUAUUUAAACUGAUAAUUUCUGAUCAAUAACAGCCAAAAAAAAUAAAAAAUUGUGUACAGUAUAAAACUACUAGUUAUAUACGUUUUAUACGUUUCAUACAUAUUUAUAAUACGUGUUUCAUGCAUUACUGUAUUAUACGUUUCAACCUUGAAUUUAUAGUAAAAUCAAUACGCUCUAAGCUUUGCUCAGAAUCUUUUUACAAAAAAAAAAAAAAAAUUAAUAUUGUAUGUCCUAUAAGUUAUGACGUACGGCAGUUACUUAUUGGAAAUAUUGACGGAAAUUAAUGUUAUUUUCGAAAUUUCAAGUAACAUAUUCUGCAAAUGAAAAUAUAAUAUGUAUUUUU